GCCCGGGUGGCGAAAUUGGUAGACGCAAGGGAUUUAAAAUCCCUCGGCCCCAGGCCGUGCCGGUUCGAGUCCGGCUCCGGGCA
rnacentral:tRNA from 1 species